UCGGAUUGCAGUCUGCAACUCGACUGCAUGAAGCUGGAAUCGCUAGUAAUCGCGGAUCAGAAUGCCGCGGUGAAUACGUUCCCGGGUCUUGUACACACCGCCCGUCACACCAUGGGAGUCGGAUAUGCCCGAAGUCAGUGACCCAACCGCAAGGAGGGAGCUGCCGAAGGUGGAGCCGAUGACUGGGGUGAAGUCGUAACAAGGUACC
rnacentral:rRNA from 1 species